rnacentral:lncRNA from 1 species
UCAUGGAGAAAAGGCAGAGACUCGGCUGUGAUGGAGCCUCCCUCCUUGGUGGAUCGUCGUCUGAAACGAAGUCACAAAAGAAAAGAAAAGGGAAGAGUUCUCUGGUCCCAGGAGAACAGUGUGUAGUGAAGGCUUGGUUGGGAUGGGCUACAGUGAGGUUGCACUAACGUGGUUUUUCCAUCAUAUAUGAACAUGGUUGUCCCAGCUGAUUUCACAGCUCUCUGCUUCUGUUCCUCCCAUGAAUUUUAGUUGGCUGAUUGCGAUUCUGGCGCAGCUCAAUCCUCUGUUUGGACCACAGUUGAAAAAUGAAACCAUCUGGUAUCUGAAGUAUCACUGGCCUUGAGGAUGAAGGCAUGCUGCACAGUGCAGGCACUGAGGUCACAGCUAGAAGCCUUCUAGAUACAGAAUCACCUGCACACCGACCUCCUUCCUCGACAGCCUACUUCGGCCAUUACCUGCCUUACACUUGAAGGCCUUCCUCUGCAUACAGUAUUUUUUCUCCUUCACCUUUUUUACACUUUGAAUUAUGUGCCUGCAUAGCUGACUUUGAGAUGUGUCUCUGCACUCGACUGAGAGAAAAGGUGCUGUUCUGGGAAAUCUGUUACUCUUGUCUUGAAGCCUGCCACUUUGAAUAUGGCUCUUGCCUGCUCACAACAUGAGAGUCAGCGAUGUGUUUAAGAAUUGCUGCAAGACAAAUGAGACUCAGUGGGACAGUCAGGAGUGCCUGCUCGAGAGAAGCUCUACCCCAGCAGAUGUACACCAAACUCUAUUUUCAGGAUGAAUUUCUUACUUCUACAUCUUUUGGAAUAAAUUAUUUUUCUUCUUUCUAUGGAAA